rnacentral:tRNA from 1 species
UAUAAAAAAAUUUAUAAAUAGGAAAGAGAGGGAUUCGACCC